GUCGAAUCACCUCAAGUGCUGCUAAAAAGAACAGGGUUACUCUAGAAUCCAGGCUUCCAAUGUUAGGGUGGAUGACAGUCUGAAGCCAAGCAAGCCUCAAGACAAGGUUCAAACCCUGUACAAUAUUUGAUUCUCUCAAGCAUUGCUGACACAUACUUCCCAAGGUUGACAAUGUGGUUUAUAUCCCCUUCAUCGAACCAUCUCCUUGCACACUGUAGGACAACAGCAAAGAAGGAAUACCUUGUCAGAGCUAUUGAAGUAGGAGCUCUCCACUACUUUGAGGAUAUGGCAUCAGUGAGCAAGAGAUAUGAACUGAAACCUUGUCGAAUUUCUUCAGGAUCUUCACAAAGGCCAUCAUGUUCAAGCUCCUUCAACAAGUGCGCCAUCCUUGUCAGUAUCCACAUAACAGAAUUUGAAGUACAAGCCAUAUAGCAAAAUCAGCUAUGC